UUCCGGUUGAUCCCGCCGGACCCGACUGCUAUCGGAUUGAGACUAAGCCAUGCGAGUCAACCCGCAAGGGUGGCGGACGGCUCAGUAACACGUAGUCAACAUGCCCAGGGGACGUGGAUAACCUCGGGAAACUGAGGAUAAACCGCGAUAGGCCAAGGUUUCUGGAAUGGACAAUGGCUGAAACCUACAUGGCCCCUGGAUUGGACUGCGGCCGAUCAGGCUGUUGGUGAGGUAAUGGCCCACCAAACCUGUAACCGGUACGGGCUCUGAGAGGAGGAGCCCGGAGAUGGGCACUGAGACAAGGGCCCAGGCCCUAUGGGGCGCAGCAGGCGCGAAACCUCUGCAAUAGGCGAAAGCUUGACAGGGUUACUCUGAGUGAUGUCCGUUAAGGGCAUCUUUUGGCACCUCUAAAAAUGGUGCAGAAUAAGGGGUGGGCAAGUCUGGUGUCAGCCGCCGCGGUAAUACCAGCACCCCGAGUGGUCGGGACGAUUAUUGGGCCUAAAGCAUCCGUAGCCGGUUCUGCAAGUCUUCCGUUAAAUCCACCUGCUCAACAGAUGGGCUGCGGAGGAUACUACAGGGCUAGGAGGCGGGAGAGGCAAGCGGUACUCAGUGGGUAGGGGUAAAAUCCUCUGAUCCACUGAAGACCACCAGUGGCGAAGGCGGCUUGCCAGAACGCGCUCGACGGUGAGGGAUGAAAGCUGGGGGAGCAAACCGGAUUAGAUACCCGGGUAGUCCCAGCUGUAAACGAUGCAGACUCGGUGAUGGGUUGGCUUUGAGCCAACCCAGUGCCGCAGGGAAGCCGUUAAGUCUGCCGCCUGGGGAGUACGGUCGCAAGACUGAAACUUAAAGGAAUUGGCGGGGGAGCACCACGAGGGGUGAAGCCUGCGGUUCAAUUGGAGUCAACGCCGGG
rnacentral:rRNA from 1 species